rnacentral:lncRNA from 1 species
AAGAAAUCUUACAAGACCUGCACGGCGUUAUUGUUCAACAUCUCAAAUAAGGCUCUGGUGCCGGCAGAGCCACCGUCACCCGGUCUUCCUGGGCAGUUCCUGCUGUGGGGAUGUGUUCCAGGGGAGUGAUGGAAUCCUCCCAGAAGCCAGCCCCCUCCAGCCAGGUGGCUUAUUUUUCCUCUCGUGCCCACCAUUUAAACAACAUCAAGUCCCCAUCUGGGGUGAUUACAGAGAAAGAUGCGUCUUCCAAGGGAGACAUGGCAAGUUGCUAUCCAACAGCCUCUACCAGGGUCUGUGCUUCUCUGAGAUACAAAAUUGAGUCCCGCGUGGCUUGACACCAAAUCACCAGCUUUGAUUCUUUUUUUGUUUUUAAGGAUACAUUUCAGAAGCUCAGACUUCUCCCCGCGAAGCGAAAAUUGCCUUCUGGUGGAGAAAGGUUUUAAUGAUCACUUUGUUUCCUGCGUCUCCAUGGUGACAGGGCGCACACAGCCCACCCCCUCCCACCUCAUUAGGCCUUUCUUCCUCCCCGGAAAGCAAUCAAUCAGGCCAUCCAGACGCCUUUGUGACCGGUUUAUCACCUACACAGUCCAGGGUCCCCAAGGGUGGAGGAGUGGACAAGUCUUUGGAGUUAAGAGAUGGGCUCCGGCCCGAGCACCCCCUGGUCUCCGGGUUGGCAGCUCUGCCCAGCACACCUGUCGGGAGGCGGCGCGCCCAGGAAAAGAAAAACGGACCGGGAAAGGCAAGGACCCAGAGGAGGACGCCGGGCUGGCUUCAGGGCGGGGAGACAAUAGCCUCGCAGGCUGCAGCCAGGCGCAUCCCGGCGUGCGCGGCCUCGCUUUGUUAUUUAUUCGUGUUUUUUCCCAUUCCUCGGUCUAUAUUCCAGGAAAAAAAAAGUUGAACCAGGAAAUAAAAACUUUCUUGUUAGUGUUUAUUGCAUGCUUGGGGCAGGGG